rfam:Cajanus cajan Scaffold000051_18, whole genome shotgun sequence.
GGCUCAGUGAUUUUCUGCCUUAGUUGCAGUAUACGCUAUUCCGAUUCAUAAUGUGAGCUGAUAUAUUUUCUUAGAUGAGAGCC